CCUCUUGCAGCUGGACACAUUUACCAGAUGGAUGAGUCUUUUGGGUGGUGAUGAAUAAUGGGUUUCUGUAAGGCUUGGCUAUAGUCACAUGGGAGGCAGUGAUGUCAGCCGUUUCCAGGUCCCUU